rnacentral:piRNA from 1 species
UAGGAGUCUAGCAAUCUAAAUUUAGGUAG